GCUAAUACCGGAUAACAUUUUGAACUGCAUGGUUCGAAAUUGAAAGGCGGCUUCGGCUGUCACUUAUGGAUGGACCCGCGUCGCAUUAGCUAGUUGGUGAGGUAACGGCUCACCAAGGCAACGAUGCGUAGCCGACCUGAGAGGGUGAUCGGCCACACUGGGACUGAGACACGGCCCAGACUCCUACGGGAGGCAGCAGUAGGGAAUCUUCCGCAAUGGACGAAAGUCUGACGGAGCAACGCCGCGUGAGUGAUGAAGGCUUUCGGGUCGUAAAACUCUGUUGUUAGGGAAGAACAAGUGCUAGUUGAAUAAGCUGGCACCUUGACGGUACCUAACCAGAAAGCCACGGCUAACUACGUGCCAGCAGCCGCGGUAAUACGUAGGUGGCAAGCGUUAUCCGGAAUUAUUGGGCGUAAAGCGCGCGCAGGUGGUUUCUUAAGUCUGAUGUGAAAGCCCACGGCUCAACCGUGGAGGGUCAUUGGAAACUGGGAGACUUGAGUGCAGAAGAGGAAAGUGGAAUUCCAUGUGUAGCGGUGAAAUGCGUAGAGAUAUGGAGGAACACCAGUGGCGAAGGCGACUUUCUGGUCUGUAACUGACACU
rnacentral:rRNA from 1 species